rnacentral:snRNA from 1 species
GUGCUCGCUUCGGCAGCACAUAUACUAAAAUUGGAAUGAUACAGCGAAGAUUAGCAUUGGCCCCUGCACAAGGGUGACACUCAAAUUAAUAAAACAAGAAACAAACAA